rnacentral:rRNA from 1 species
UACGUAGGUGGCAAGCGUUAUCCGGAUUUAUUGGGCGUAAAGGGAACGCAGGCGGUCUUUUAAGUCUGAUGUGAAAGCCUUCGGCUUAACCGGAGUAGUGCAUUGGAAACUGGGAGACUUGAGUGCAGAAGAGGAGAGUGGAACUCCAUGUGUAGCGGUGAAAUGCGUAGAUAUAUGGAAGAACACCAGUGGCGAAAGCGGCUCUCUGGUCUGUAACUGACGCUGAGGGUCGGAAGCGUGGGUAGCAAACAGG